UUGAAUCAUCGAAUUUUUGAACGCAAAUUGCACUCUCUGGUAUUCCGGGGAGUAUGCCUGUUUGAGGGUCGCCUAAAUAAACAUCGAUUCAUUGCUUUUUUUUUGGAAAAAAAAGUAAAUGUUAUCGGAUCUGAGCCUUCUUUUUUUUUUUUUUUUAAAGUGGCUUAAAAUUUAUUUCGGUUAUGAUAAACUUAAUUAACGAUUAAUUCUAUUCAAAAAAUAACA
rnacentral:misc_RNA from 1 species